rnacentral:tRNA from 1 species
GGGGAUAUGGCGAAAUCGGUAGACGCUACGGACUAAAAUCCGUCGACUUUAUAAGUCGUGAGGGUUCAAGUCCCUCUAUCCCC